rnacentral:rRNA from 1 species
UACGAAGGGUGCAAGCGUUACUCGGAAUUACUGGGCGUAAAGCGUGCGUAGGCGGAUCUUUAAGUCAGAGGUGAAAUCCCAAGGCUCAACCUUGGAACUGCCUUUGAUACUGGGGAUCUCGAGUCCGGGAGAGGUGAGUGGAACUGCGAGUGUAGAGGUGAAAUUCGUAGAUAUUCGCAAGAACACCAGUGGCGAAGGCGGCUCACUGGCCCGGUACUGACGCUGAGGAGCGAAAGCGUGGGGAGCAAACAGG